CUGAUCCUGUAGGAACCACGUGCCCUCUGUCCUCAUUGGUGGGAGCCCUCAAAAAACGGGCACGUAGCACACACUGAUUGGUGGGCUGUGGCACGCAUGCACCCUGUUGUUAAGGGGUAGGAUCUUGGCCCCCAUUCCGAGGGCUUCUAGCCCUCCCACCUAGGGCUGUGAGGGUUGUGGAGUCUGCUGUGUUGAGAAAUGAGCUCGUCCGACGACGAUGAGUCCUUGGCAGAACUGGGAAGUAUUCCUUGGUCUCUUCGGGGGCCAGACAACCCAAGCAAAACACCGGGAAGCCACCAGGGGCCAGCAGGACCAAGGACUCCGACCUUUGCAACCGAGGCAAAGAGCCGGCCCCAAAGAGCCAACUAUCUUGCCCAUCCAAGCAUCAUGGAGGAUACAACAUCCGAGACCUGGAUACCAAGACCUCUCACAUUCCAGGAAAUUCACCUCUUUUGCCCAUGGCCCAGGGAAGUGUCAAGCCCAGAGCAUCUCCACCUUCAAGUUUCCAGAGGCCACUUUGUCUGCCCCGAGAGGAAAUGAAGCAGCCACCAACUGGAGCACACAACUGCCUUCAAGUAAUGCUCUCUUGUCUAGGCAUCAGGUGUCCUGUGCUGCAGAGAGAAAUUGACAACCUUAAAGAUCAACUUGUGGCCUUGCAGUGCUUCAUUGACAAGUUCCAGAGCCUUUGAAGCUGAACACAGCAUCCCCCACAUGGAAGCAGCUGGUGCCUCUUGAAUCCAGAAGUUCCACACUGGGCCCCUUGUUGUCCUUGCCUGCUUCUCAUCAGAUGGCCCUGCCCUGCUGCCCUACCAGGGUGUCCCUCUUUCCUGAGGGUUAGCACAGCUUUUGCCCCUUACAUGCUGCAGUUUUGAAUUAAAGUACUUGUCAGA